UACGUAGGGUGCGAGCGUUGUCCGGAAUUACUGGGCGUAAAGAGCUCGUAGGUGGUUUGUCGCGUUGUUCGUGAAAACUCACAGCUUAACUGUGGGCGUGCGGUCGAUACGGGCAUCACUGGAGUUCGGCAGGGGAGACUGGAAGUUCCUGGUGUAGCGGUGAAAUGCGCAGAUAUCAGGAGGAACACCGAGUGGCGAAGGCAGGUCUCUGGGCAUUAACUGA
rnacentral:rRNA from 1 species